UCCCUGUGGCUCAGAUGGUAAAGCAUCUGCCUACAGUGCAGGAGACCCGGGUUCAAUCCCUGGGUUGGGAA
rnacentral:tRNA from 1 species